AGUAACGGCGAGUGAACGGAGAUUAGCCCAACAUCGAAGCCUAUUCAUGUAUAUGGACAAGGCAAUGUGAUGUUUGAGUACGCAUCUUGGAUUGCUCGUCUAUUCGAAGUCCAACUCCGAUUAUGGCUUUGGAUUUGUCCCUUAGAGGGUGAAAGGCCCGUUCGAGUAGACACUGUUGUUUAUGAGCUCUCCUUUGAUAUGUGUACUUUGGAGUCGGAUUGCUUGAGAAUGCAGUCCAAAGUGGGUGGUAAACUCCAUCCAAGGCUAAAUACUGGCGCGAGUCCGAUAGUAGACAAGUACCGUGAGGGAAAGUUGAAAAGUACUCUGAAGAGAGAGUAAAUAGUACGUGAAGCCGACUGGAUGGAAGCUGGUGGAGUCAAGCUUUAAGCAAAGGGAAUUGAUGCGGAGAUGUUGUUGUUCUUAAAGACCGGCUUUUGUUGCUUUCAAAUAGCUUGGUGGUUCGCCACCUUAUGUUAUCUGGGCUGAUGACUUUUUUUAGCCUCGGUCUUCCAUCUCGUGUGUUAUUUCUUCUUGCUGUAAUCAUGGUCAAUGCUAUUGUUGUGUGCCCCAGUCUAACCGGAUUUUUGUAAGCAUUAGCUUUCAUGAUGCGGGACGGCAGGUGGUGGCAUUCGAGUUUAGGCUUGUCUGUCACGUAUAGUGGUUUUACUUGCUGAUUUGGGCGCUUUCAAUACCGUCAAGAGCAUUGAUUUUUCUGCAUUUAGAGCCUUAAUUGGCUACUGAUGUGAGAGCCAUGAUUAUGAAGUAGACUUUCCACCGGGCCCGUCUUGAAACACGGACCAAGGAGUUUAACUUGCUCGCGAGUCAAAGGGUUAUUUAAAAAUCCAAUGGCGUAAUGAAAGUAAACGGUUGCUUUUCGCGGCCGAAGGUGUGAUCUUUGUUAGCUCUGAACAGUGCUGCAAGGCGUAACACCGGCCCGUCUCAUAAUGUAGUAAUGCUUGUUACGGCAAGCGUUCGUCAUGAGGCGGUGCAAGAGCGAGUAGGUUGAGACCCGAAAGAUGGUGAACUAUGCUUGCGUAGGUUGAAGCCAGAGGAAACUCUGGUGGAGGACCGUCGCGGUUUUGACGUGCAAAUCGAUCGUCAAACGUGAGCAUAGGGGCGAAAGACUAAUCGAACCAUCUAGUAGCUGGUUCCCUCCGAAGUUUCCCUCAGGAUAGCUGGCACUCAUUUAAUACAGUUUUAUCCGAUAAAGCGAAUGAUUAGAGGUAUUGGGGACUAUAUGACCUCAACCUAUUCUCAAACUAUUAAUGGGUACGAUGCACGGCUCGCUUAAUUGGAGUUGUGCAUUGAAUGUGAGUGCCAAGUGGGCCAUUUUUGGUAAGCAGAACUGGCGCUGUGGGAUGCUCCGAACGUCGAGAUAAGGUGCCCAAUAUUGACGCUCAUGAGAUACCACAAAAGGUGUUAAUGCAUAUAGACAGCAGGACGGUGGCCAUGAAAGUCGGAAUCCGCUAAGGA
rnacentral:rRNA from 1 species